GACGAACGCUGGCGGCGUGCUUAACACAUGCAAGUCGAACGGAAAGGCCCUGCUUUUGUGGGGUGCUCGAGUGGCGAACGGGUGAGUAACACGUGAGUAACCUGCCCUUGACUUUGGGAUAACUUCAGGAAACUGGGGCUAAUACCGGAUAGGAGCUCCUGCUGCAUGGUGGGGGUUGGAAAGUUUCGGCGGUUGGGGAUGGACUCGCGGCUUAUCAGCUUGUUAGUGGGGUAGUGGCUUACCAAGGCUUUGACGGGUAGCCGGCCUGAGAGGGUGACCGGCCACAUUGGGACUGAGAUACGGCCCAGACUCCUACGGGAGGCAGCAGUGGGGAAUAUUGCACAAUGGGCGGAAGCCUGAUGCAGCAACGCCGCGUGCGGGAUGACGGCCUUCGGGUUGUAAACCGCUUUCGCCGGUGACGAAGCGUGAGUGACGGUAAUGGGUAAAGAAGCACCGGCUAACUACGUG
rnacentral:rRNA from 1 species